rnacentral:rRNA from 1 species
UUAGGAAUUUUCCACAAUGGGGGCAACCCUGAUGGAGCAACGCCGCGUGCAGGAUGAAGGCCUUCGGGUUGUAAACUGCUUUUAUGUGCGAAGAAUAUGACGGUAACACAUGAAUAAGGAUCGGCUAACUCCGUGCCAGCAGCCGCGGUCAUACGGAGGAUCCAAGCGUUAUCCGGAUUUACUGGGCGUAAAGAGUUGCGUAGGUGGUUUGUUAAGUGAAUAGUGAAAUCUGGUGGCUCAACCAUCAACACAUUAUUCAAACUGACAAACUCGAGAAUGAGAGAGGUCACUGGAAUUCCUUGUGUAGGAGUGAAAUCCGUAGAUAUAAGGAGGAACACCAAUGGCGUAGGCAGGUGACUGGCUCAUUUCUGACACUGAGGCACGAAAGCGUGGGGAGCGAACGGG